AGAGUUUGAUCCUGGCUCAGAACGAACGCUGGCGGCAGGCUUAACACAUGCAAGUUGAACGGGAACAUACGAUAGCUUGCUAUAGUAUGUGAGAGUGGCGCACGGGUGAGUAAUACAUGGGAACAUACCUUAAAGUGGGGGAUAACUUCUGGAAACGGAUGCUAAUACCGCAUAUACCCUGAGGGGGAAAGAUUUAUCGCUUUAAGAUUGGCCCAUGGCAGAUUAGGUAGUUGGUGGGGUAAAGGCCUACCAAGCCGACGAUCUGUAGCUGGUCUGAGAGGACGAUCAGCCACAUUGGGACUGAGACACGGCCCAGACUCCUACGGGAGGCAGCAGUGAGGAAUAUUGGGCAAUGGGGGCAACCCUGACCCAGCCAUGCCGCGUGAGUGAAGAAGGUUUUCGAAUUGUAAAGCUCUUUCGGAUGUGACGAUGAUGACGGUAGCAUCUAAAGAAGCCCCGGCAAACUUCGUGCCAGCAGCCGCGGUAAUACGAAGGGGGCGAGCGUUGUUCGGAAUUACUGGGCGUAAAGGGUGUGUAGGUGGACGUGUAAGAUAGCGGUGAAAUGCCGGAGCUCAACUUCGGAAUUGCCAUUAUAACUAUGCGUCUAGAAUUAUAGAGAGGAUAGCGGAAUACCCAGUGUAGAGGUGAAAUUCGUAGAUAUUGGGUAGAACACCAGUGGCGAAGGCGGCUAUCUGGCUAUAUAUUGACACUGAGGCACGAAAGCAUGGGGAUCAAACAGGAUUAGAUACCCUGGUAGUCCAUGCCGUAAACGAUGAAUGCUGGUUGUCGGACGAAUGUUCGGUGACGAAGUUAACGCGAUAAGCAUUCCGCCUGGGGAGUACGGCCGCAAGGUUAAAACUCAAAGGAAUUGACGGGGACCCGCACAAGCGGUGGAGCAUGUGGUUUA
rnacentral:rRNA from 1 species